rnacentral:rRNA from 1 species
UGAGCAACCUGCCCUCAGCUUUGGGAUAACCCUCGGAAACGGGGCUAAUACCGGAUAUUCACUUCUCUGCGCAUGUGGGGUGGUGGAGAGUUUUUCGGCUGGGGAUGGGCUCGCGGCCUAUCAGCUUGUUGGUGGGGUGAUGGCCUACCAAGGCGACGACGGGUAGCCGGCCUGAGAGGGUGACCGGCCUCACCGGGACUGAGACACGGCCCAGACUCCUACGGGAGCA